rnacentral:rRNA from 1 species
UACAGAGGUCUUCAAGCGUUGUUCGGAUUCAUUGGGCGUAAAGGGUGCGUAGGUGGUGGGGUAAGUCGGAUGUGAAAUCCCCGGGGCUCAACCCCGGGAACUGCAUUCGAAACUGCCUUGCUCGAGUACUGGAGAGGGAGACGUGGAAGUUUAACGGGUGUAGCAGUGAAAUGCGUAGAUAUCGUAAGGAAGACCAGUGGCGAAGGCGAGGUCUCCUGGGACAGUUACUGACACU